UACGUAGGGUGCAAGCGUUGUCCGGAAUUAUUGGGCGUAAAGAGCUCGUAGGCGGUUUGUCGCGUCUGCUGUGAAAACCCGAGGCUCAACCUCGGGCCUGCAGUGGGUACGGGCAGACUAGAGUGCGGUAGGGGAGAGUGGAAUUCCUGGUGUAGCGGUGGAAUGCGCAGAUAUCAGGAAGAACACCCGUGGCUAAGGCGGCUCUCUAGUACGGUACUGACGCUGAGACGCGAAAGCGUGGGGAGCGAACAGG
rnacentral:rRNA from 1 species